rnacentral:lncRNA from 1 species
AUAAAAUUUAUGAUCAAAUUUCUAGAAUUUCAGUUUAAUUCCAACACAUAAUAUCCUUAGGCUUCUUUCACACUGUCAACAAUGAUAACCAAAGAUUAAAGGCAACAAUCAAAGACAAAGACUAAUUAUUUUCGCUUAUCACUUAGCUGUUCACAUCAGUUUGAAGAAGUUCAUGAUGAUUUAUAUUGAGCAUGUGCACACGUUUGUUAGUAAGCAAGUAUGGAUCCACUUGUGCUAACAUUAGUCCUUCAACGAGAAAAUUUUUUAAAUUAGUAAUAAAUCUCAAUAAUCUUUAUGAGAAGCAUGAUACAGCCAAGGUCUUUCUCAUACAGCUGAAAUCAAAGUUUCCUCCAUUUUGCUUUAUAAAAAUGCUUCUUCCUGAUUGGUCAAAGUACAACAAUAAUGAUUAAAUCUUAAAUC